AAUCCUUAAUGUAUUUGAUGGUACAGCCCAUAUCACCUUUUUUUUUUAGACGGAGUUUUGCUCUUGUUACCCAGGCUGGAGUGCAGUGACAUGAUCUCAGCUCACUGUAACCUCCACAAGGUUCAAGUGAUUCUCCUGCCUCAGCCUCCCAAGUAGCUGGGAUUACAGGCAUAUGCCACCACGCCCAGCUAAUUUUGUAUUUUUAGUAGAGACAGGGUUGCUCCAUGUUGGUCAGGCUCAUCUUAAACUUCUGGCCUCAGGUGAUUCGCCCACCUCAGCCUCCCAAAGUGCUGGGAUUACAGGCAUGAGCCACUGCAUCCGGCCUUUUUUUCUUCUUCUUCUUUGGGUAGUAUGACAUGGACCCAGUCAUUCUUUCUGGAUCCACCCCAGUACCUCUCAAAUUACAGCACUUAGAGAAUAGAAUCUAAAACUCCACUAAUGCCCUGGCCAGCUGUGGCUAUGAGAAUUGUAACUUCCUUUGUUCUAGAUUUCCUACUGCCUGAAAACAGACUAUUAUGACCUUAGUUUUCCUAGCAGCUAAGUCACAUUCAUUCUUUCAUGUUGACUUGCUAAAGACUUUUUGUUCUUCUAUUGAGAUUACUGUUCUGACAGCUUUCUUCAGGCUGCUAAUUUUUUUCAAAUACCUACAUGCAUGUCCCUGUAUUAUUUCUUAUUAGGGUUUAUUCUAGCUAGAUUCCAGCCAGUUGCCAUCUUUCUGAAUCUAGAUUCCAUCAUUGACUAGUCCUCCAAAACUUGAAAAUCUGGUCUUCUGUCUUUUUCUGAAUUUAUUCUGUGGGAUCUGGUUAUUGUUGAGCAGAAUAAGGAACCAGAUCUCAUAGAAUAAAUUCACAACUCUCCCUUUAGAUCAGGGAUUCUCAGGGUGCUCUUCUUUAUAUCUUAUUGUGAAAACAUUCAAAUAUACACCGAAAUAGAAAUAAUAGCACAAAAACACCUAUAUCUCUUCCCACUGGAGUCCACAACUAUCCUGAAUAUUUUUUGCCACAUUUAUUUCACCUAUAUAUUGUUUUGCCAAGCCAUUUUAAAAUAGACAUCAUGACAUUGUGCCACUAUAUAGUUCAAUUUGCAGUCCUUCAACACGUAAAACCAUUAUAUACCCUAACAAAAUAUGAAUAAUUCCUCAUUCUUAUAUUCACUUAGUCUACAUUCAAAUUUCCCAUUUGUCCUCAACGUGACAAUUAUGGCAGUUUGUUCAAAGCCAAGUCACAGCAAGGGUGGCAUAUUGCAUUUCUCCUCCUUUCGUCUAGAACUGUACUUCAACUUCCUUUUUCAUCACAUUAAUCUCUUGAAGAAACAAAGAUAAUUGCUUUGUAGAACGCCAAAGACCUCUUUAAAUAAUAUGCCUCUUCAUGUUGUUCGUUAUAAAUGCUGCUAUCAAAUAAAGGUCAUCUAUUAAAUAACUGUUAAUUUUCCUUUUUAAUUACAAAUUUAUACGUAACUACCAAUUAGAGAUCCUGGUAAACAUGAAAUAGCACUCUUAUCAUUUUCGGGUUGACGUGAUCACAAGGAUAAACUCAGAAUUGAUACUUUAUAAUGGUAUAACAUUGAUCAAGUUACUUAGCAUCCAUGGGUCUUUCCUGUGUUCAAUAAUGAAUCUACCUCAGCAAUACGGUUCUUAUAAGGAUUGAUACAAUAAGCAUGCAAAGUUUCUAUUUAGAAACUCUGAUCAUGGAAGCAAACACAUGUUUUCAUUUAAUAUAUGGAAAGCUGACUAAAACAAAUAUUUAUCCAAUGCACAUUGUGUGUUGGUAAAGAGGAUAGUUAGAUGAGCACAACUGAUUCCCCACCACAUGUUCAACAUUGUUAGAGAGAUCACAUUUCAUUCUCACAAUAACCCUGUGAGAUAGGUAUCAUUAUCCCUAUAAUAUGGAUGAAGAAACUGGAUCUCACAAAGUUUAAAUGACACACCCAGUUAGGAAUUGAACUUAGGUGUUUUUGAAUGCAUACCUGGAGCACCUCCCACUUCCCUACUCUGCCCCUCUGAUUUAAUAAUACCCACUCCCUGGACAAUACAAUAUCUAAGAUAUUAUAUCUACCAAUCACUACAACCUUGCUAGAGUUAAAUUAGAAGUAGCAGUUCCCUCAUUGAAAUCUUUUACCUUCUGAGGGAUACAGCUGGCUACAAACCAAACAAAGCCAAGCCUUAUCUUCGGGGAUUUCCCCAGAACGGGAAGUGCCACGCACUACUCGCUGCAGGCAGAAGCCUCUCUCCUCCCAACCUGUUAGACAUUCAGGUUUACUGGAAAUGUGUCAUGUCUUUGGAAUGGAAGGCAGGGAGGAGCCAGACAGAGCCAGGUACUGGCAUGAUACUUGCCCACCAGGAUACAUAAGGCUUGGGAGGUGGGAGGUGGCAGGUAGGAAGGCAGACUAAGACCAAGAGCAUGUGAAAGUCAGUGAGCAUGUGUUGCACCAGUCAGUCUUGGGUUUUUUGCCAGCAAUUGGAACCCAAAUAGAGGGGUUUGCGCGAGCACACGCGUGUGUACUUGGAAGUGUCAAAGGCACUUCUUACCUGUGGUAAAGCCCAGCCACUGGACAAAGCCCAAGGGUCUAGAUUCUGCCUGGGGAAGGGAGAUUGGCUAGGGCAAAAGUGGGAAGUCCGGGGAUUUUCAGUGGAGCCAUAUCAUGAUUUAUGGGGGAGAAGGAUGCACUUAGAGGUUGCAUUCAAUAUUAAAAUAUUUUACAUUCAUGCAUGUUAAAACAAAAUAUAUUUGUGUUUAUAAUACAAAAUGAUGAAAACAAAUUGGAAUAAAAUCUUCUUAGCCAGGAGGACGUGCAGAUGAACUCUAGGUAAAAACUGUUACCUUUUGCAUAGUGAUUUUUCAAGGGAGUUGUGAAAUUUCUAUGUUAAACAAAAGAGGGUGUUAGUUUCAAUAUUGAGGAAUCCUUGGAGAACAGAGGGGAAAUGAAAAAUUCUGGGAGCAGAUGUUGGUGCUGGAAGAGCAACAAGUUAGCCUAGGGCUUAUCUCUCUAUUUGGUUUAUUUAUUUCAAUAAACAUUCUCUGAAAAACCUACUAAACACCAGGCACUGUGAAAACCUACUAAGCAACAGGCAUUGUGUUGGGUGCUGUGAAUUCAACAGUGAAUGUGACCAUUUUCUGCCCUUUAGAACUUUGUGAUCUAAUUAAGCAGUAGAGGCAGGUUAACAGAUAACAAGAAAAUCUCAGAAGCGCUAUGAUAGAAGUAUACACAAGGCACUAGGAGGGAUCUCUGGCCCAAGUUCAAGGUGGGGAGGAGCAGAAAGAAUUUCUUAGACCAUAAAUCAGUUUUAAAGAGCACUUGGCACUGGAUCUAGUGCAAAGAGGCAGUCUCUGAAGCAGAGUGAUGAACCACAGUGACGACAAGUUUGGGCUCUGUACUAUGUUGGCUGAGUUCCAGGACAGAUGGGACAACCUUGGGCAAGUAACUUGUUGCUCUAGACCUUGGUUUCUUCCUCUAUUAACAUCAAGAUGGUAAGAUAGUAUUGCAGGGGGCCAACCUCCUGGCCUUAUGAAGGUUCACUGACAAAUAAGCUCAUAAACAGCAGAUUAAUUGAAGAAAAGACAUAUGCAUUUACUUUAAAUGCAUGCACAAGAAUCUUUGGAAUGAGAACCCAAAGAUAUGGGAGAAAUUAUCCAUAUUGAUGCUUAGAUUCAAAAAAGUAUGGACAGUUGUGUACAAAUAUAACUGGACAAAAAAGUUGUGAUCAAAUGCUAGUAGACUGAGUGGGGAAAUCAAGCAAGACCUGCCUGUUUGAAUUCUUCUUGGCCUCUCUGAGCAUGCAUUUCUUCCUCUGGGUGUGGGGCAGGACGUCUUUGGGGAAAGGGGGCUCUGGUUUUUAUGGCCCACCAUAGAGAAGAGGGAUUCUAGUUUCUGUGACUGGCUUCAGGGGAGAAAGGUGCUGAGAGACAGAAGGGUAGCAGAAGUUCAGAGAAAAGCUUUUACUUGUAAUGCUGCUUCUGAGGCCUUCAUUGUGGGAUAUUCUGUUCUGAACCCAGUAGCACCUACCUCGCCGGGUUGCUAUGAGGAGUUAGCAUAUAGCUCUCAAUACAUAUAAAUUAUUAAUUAAUUUAAAACGCAAUAUGGCCUGAUGGAUUUGAAAUUGUGUUUGGGGGACUUUUAAUUAGGGUGUUUUCUGUAAUUAGAAAUUCUCUUCCAAUGCUAGUCAAAGUUUUUGACUCUUCAUUUCUAGAACAUUACACAAGAGUCAGUGAAGGUCAUCUAUCAAGCAUUGACAUACAAAUUAGAAAUGUGGCAGUGUUGGCUUUAAAAGGGAGUUCAUGGUUUUCAUUAAAAGCUACCUCAGCGAAACCCAGCAUGUGCUCUCAUUCAUUUAUGUAUUUAUUCUUUCCAUAUUUUAGUUCCUAAUAUAUACCAGUACUAUGCUUUAUGGUAAUCUUACAGAGAUGAUUUAUACAUAAUACUUUUCCAUAGAAACUCACAGUCUUAGAGGGAGAGAGAGAAUCACAAUACCAUGUGAUAAUGUGACAGCAGAGGUAUGUACAAAAUGCUUUGGGGAACUCUCCCAAGUAUGGUAAUGACUAAUACUGACUGCAUAUCUGGGAAGGUUUCAUGAAGGAGGUAACCUUCUAUUAGGUCUUUAAUAAGAGUUUCCCAAGCAGAUACCUGUGGGAUGGGAAAAUUCCAGGAAGAGGAGAUUGCUUAUGUAGAGAACCAAAGCAGUGAUCAAAAUCGAUGUAUUCAUGGCAAAAAGCAUAAAAGCAUUGCGUGACAUUAACAGGGGAAUAGGUUAAAAAGGUAGAUUACGCCAGUAUGAUGUGUGGCUGUGCAAUACUUACUCUAUAGGCCAGAGAGAACUAGAGGCAUGAUCAGAACAGAUCUGAGAAAGAACAGACACUGGGAACUGAGUGGCAAGAGAGGAGAGACUAGAUAAAAGGAAAUCAGGCUUUUGCAAUAAUGCAGGCAAGGCUGGUAAUCUUGAAAGUUUCUGGCUGUAUAUAUAGUCUGGCCAUGCAGAAAGAGAACAGGACUAUAGAUGCAUUUCUAGUAGUCAUCAGUUUAAAGGUGAUACUUAAAGCUGUACAUAUCAAUGAGCCACCCCAAGGACAUGAUGUACUUGUGGGAGGAGAGGGGUCCAGUUGGGCAGGCCUGGAGAAUACCAGCAAAAAAUAAGGUAAAAAAAGACAGCAAGUUAAACUGAGAAGAAAUCAAAAGUUGUUGUCCUAGGGCAGGAAGGAGUUUAGGAGGUGAGAAGUUAUCAAUGGUGCCAAAUAACAGAGGGAAUUUCAAUAUGAAAGCAGCAAAAGGAAGUCACCAGAUUCCAUGGUUAAAAAGUUAGGGUAACCAUAGUUAAAGUAUUAGGGACUGAAGCUGGAUUGCAAUGAGUUUAAGAAAAAAGGCAGUUUGGUGAUAAGAAGGAGAGGCAAGGUUGAAGAAAAGCUAUCCUUAAAAGAGGGAGAGAUGGGAACCUAUUUGAAUCCAAGCCUGUGGACACCUAAGCACUCUACUGCUUUCUGUCUAUGAGUUGUUUUUCAAAUUAAAAAAAAGUGAAACCUCUUUUAUGGUGUAAGGAUCUCAUUGGCUGUCUUUUUUAAAAAACUGCAUCCAUGAGUGCUACCUGAAACCUCUCUGCCCACUCUACACUGGCUUUUCUCCCCGCCCUCAGCAUAUCCACAGCAGGGGCUACAGGGACUACAGGAGGAAUGAAAGAAAGCAUGCUCUCCAGCUCGAGGCCUCCUCCAGGAUCCUACCUUCUGCCUGCGCCAGUCCUCCUCACAUGUUGGCUCCCCUCCUUCCUGACCCACUUGGCUUCAUGACUUGGCUCCCACUUCUACUAUCUCUGCAGCCUCAAACUGUCUAUUUGAGCCUGGUAACAGGACCUUCUCAGCACAGCAAACUGAGGCCUGGGUGUCAUGGCCAUGGUUCCUGCUCUGGCCCCAGGACCUGCCACACAUUUGUUUAUUGUGCAUACAUUUGUUAAACCCCUACUACAAGCCAGGUACUAUUAUAGGCACUCAAAGACAUUGGUGAAGAAGGAAGUCAAAGUCCCUGUUCUUAAUGCAAUUUAUAUUUAGUAGAGGAGACAAACAAUAAAUAAACGGUGGGCAAGGCCCCCAGGUGCCCUUUCUUCCAGGAAAAGAACAAAAACGCACUCACCUUGAACCAGAACUUCAUAAACUCUCGAAGCCACUCCCUUUGAUGUGGUUCCCUAAGAGAUAAAGUCUCACUACUAUCACAUCUCUCUCUCAGGCAUUCAGACUCCAAAUGGGCAUAUGUCAUCAAUAAGUCAGAUUCUUAUUCUAUUCAGACUGACUGUAAAUUAUGAACUAGCCCUAUUUUUAGCUCCUGUAUCCCUUUUUGAUGGCUUUUCUCCCUUGUUGCAGCAAUGUAAUUCUACAUACCUAUCUGGCACACCACAUCCCCCACAUGCUAAGCUUUCCACUAAUUAGCAUAUAUUACUCAAUCUAGGAAGCUAUCAAUUAAAAGAUGAACCACUAUUGUGUGUACUUUUUUAACAAAUGUGUAAUAAGAGAAACUUCAUAGGGGACCCCUACAUAAAGCUGAGACACCAAAGAGCUAUACCCUUCAUAUAAAGGUAAAUAAGAAAUGAACUCACAGAGAGAGACAGGAAAAAAAAUCUUACAUGUCUCAGUUUUGGCUUUAGUGGAGAGAGUGGGAAGUUCUCACCUGGGAAUUUAAACUACAAGCUGGUACUCUUACUGAUGGUCUAAGUUCAUACUACUAGUGUGGCCCAAAUAUCCCCAAUCUCAGAAUUUAAUAUGAGAUUAAAGUCUCAAAGUGACUGGCAGAAGCAAAAGUAAACCCCCAGAACCAAGGCUCACGAUGCCCAGUGAGGAUUCACCUACUCUGGCAAUAAUCAAAAUCAGUCAUUUCUAAUACAAUCAAAAGAUAAUAGCCAUCUGGCCAACUUCAUUGUGUAGAAAUUUAAACUGUAGUCUCUACUCUGUGUGUUUAUUUAUUCAUUUUUGAGACCGGGUCUUACUCUGUCACCCAGGCUGGAGGGAAACUGCAUGAUCAUGACUUACCACUCCCUGGUUCAAGUGAUCCUCCUGCCUCAGCCUCCUGAGCAGUUAGGACUACAGACUAUCUAUUUCCUUACAGUGAAAAAUGAGACUAUGGACAUCUUUCAAGAUUUAUGUCUUAUAGUUUUUGGCUGCUUGUGAUCUCAAGCCCAAAGAUCUAGAAGGCACCAGACCCAACUUGGAAGCAUGCCCUACCAUCAAGUAAUCAAUUAUAAUCAUUGGGAUGGGACUAAAUAAGAACUCCAAAAGGACAUAGUUUUCAAAGGUUAUCUUCAUUGAGGAACCACACAACUGCCUCAGAAAAGCAAAAACAGAUGUCCAUUUCAAGUUCUGCUUAAAAGCAUGUCAGGAGUCACAGUCUCCAGCGACUCAGGUCUUUGAUGCUGUUACCUAAUCCUACUUUAUUUCCUGCAAGCAACCACAGAACCAACUCUGAUCCUCAACAGGAAAUUCUGAGCAUUCACCAUUUCAGAUCCUUUUAAGCUGAUUAUGGUUCUUAGAGGUGUACACAGGUGAAAGCAGAUCUCCUUCCUUCUGCAGACGUGGAACUAUGGAAAGCAAGUGAGGACUCUCAUUUUACAGAACAGGAAAAUUGAAUUAUCAUUUCACAGAAGGGCUGAUUCAUUUAUACAUCUCUGCUAAUGUCUGAAGAAACUGGUAGCUCAAGAUGGGCACAGGACCCAGACCCAUGAUCACUGUGAAUGCUUUCUGAACAAUGGCAAUACCAACCACAGAUCAACUCCGUCACUGGGCACUGCUCAGAUGUGCAACUCCUGGCCUCUGAGCAAUAUGUGCUUUGUUUUCUACUUUGUGGCCAAUUUUAAACCUUAAUGUGGGGAGCAAAAAUUAUUUUUUUCCCUGUUGGACAAUCUUCAAAAAACUGGUAAAAAUACAAGGGGCCCUUGCUACCUGGACCAGGAUCUGAGGAAUGGCUCCUUCCCUAGGAGAGGACACUGGAACAAAUUGCCUUUUACCAGGCUGACGCAGCCCCUGUAAAGCUCUUAGUGAGGACCUAAAAAGCAGUUUAAUACAGCCUUAGGGCCCCUAAGAGUCAGUGGGCUUUCCAACUGAUUAUGUCUCUCCAGGGGCCAUCAUCCUCCCACUUAAACCAUUCUGAUUAGUUAGCUUAAAAUCCCCCUAUUCUGAAACACUUUCUCCCCUAAUUCCUCAGUGAAGUCUUCUUCAGUCCCCAGUUCUAGGGGAGCCCUAACUUGCCUUUAAAUUUUGAGAGCUUUAUUGUCACCUGGGUAUUAAAGAGCUUCUGUUUGAGAAGCAGGCUGUCACUUCUGUCUAGGUCAGGCUUUUCUUCACAGCAGGCUGUUAGCCAAAAAUUCCUGAGCCUCUGCUGGAGGAACCCCAGGUAACCCUGACACUGCUGCUGUGUUUGUUCCAGCAAAUCUUUACUGAGAGCCCUUCUGUAAGUCAAACUUGAUGUAGACCAAGAAGAUAUACUAGUGAUUCAAACAAUUAUUCCUGCCCUCACAGUGCAUACAUUCUAGCAGAUAUAAAUACAUUAAUUUUAAUAUGUGUAUUAGGAGGGGAUUAUUGCUGUGGAGAAAAGCAAGGCUGGGAUAAAGUAGCUAAGGAGACUGAUGGUGGGGCCUUAGGGAUUCAAAUCAGAUGUGGGUCACUGGGUAGGAUUAUCUUUUGGCCUGAAUUAUCACUGCUCUCCUGGCCCUUAGUCCCUAUGCUUUUACCAGGAGUGCCCCCUUUUCUUCAUUAAAUAAGAGAUGGGGUCUCACUAUGUUGCCCAGACUGGUCUCAAACUCCUGGCCUCUAGCCAUUUUCCUGUCUUGGCCUCCCAAAGUGCUGCUUCAAAGCAUGAGCCACUGUGCUUGGCCCCAAGAAUACCUCUUAAUGCCUCCCUCUCUUCCUUUGAUUCUUCUGUUCCUCUCACUUUCUCCACCACCAAAAAUUGUGCCUUCUCCUCUAUCCACCAAAUCCUCCUGAUCUUUAAGGACCAGCUCAAGCUACAGCCUUUGCCCCACUCUUCUGAUUACUCCCUUCUCUGAGCUCCGUGUAAAGCAUUAAGCCACACACAUCAUAUUUGAUCUUGUCUUCCAUUGUUUCCUAAGUGCUUCUAUAUCUUUCUCAACUGAUUAAAAGCUGUGACAGGGCCAGGUGCGGUGGCUCAAGCCUGUAAUCCCAGCACUUUGGGAGGCCGAGGCGGGUGGAUCACGAGGUCAAGAGAUGGAGACCAUCCUGGUCAACAUGGCAAAACCCCGUCUCUACUAAAAAUACAAAAAGUUAGCUGGGCAUGGUGGCGCGCGCCUGUAAUCCCAGCUACUCAGGAGGCUGAAGCAGGAGAAUUGCCUGAACCCAGGAGGUGGAGGUUGCUGUGAGCUGAGAUAGCACCAUUGCACUCCAGCCUGGGUAACAAGAGCGAAACUCCGUCUCAAAAACAAAAACAAAAACAAAAAAAACAGUGUUUCGCAUACUGUAAGUGCUAUGUGUUUGAUAUUUGACGUAAAUAAUUACUAAGCCUUAGCUAUUAUUCUUUCUUUCUUUCCCUUGGUCCUAUUUCUUUCUUCCCAAAGCUACCAUCCACUCUUUUGUUUCCUUUCUUCACCAAAUUUUUCAAAAGGACAGCCUGUAAUGCAAACUCUCCACUGACUGCUUCCAUUUUCUCUUGUCCCUUUCACUCCUCAACCCACUAGAAUAUUGAAAGUUGCCAAUGGCCUCUUAAGCUUCUAAUCCAAAUUUUCAUUUCCUUUCAUUUGACAUCAGUAUCCAACUUGGAAUUUCUUCUUUUGCUUUUCUUGCCAGUUCAGCUUCUCCUCAGCCAACUCCUUUCCUUUCCCAAGAGACUCCAUCCCAAGGGCUCUCUCGAGUUUGUUCUUAUACUGCACCCUCUUCCAUUGGUGUUAUUCACACUCCUAUCUUCAAUUACUGCCUACAUUCCAUUGAUUCUCAUACCUACUGACAUUUUUCCCUGAGCCCCAGCCCCUAAAUUUGAUCAGUUAUACAGAUUGAUGCCAUGUCAAAUACUCUUCUUCUAAUUAGGGUUCAUCUGUCUUCUAGGUUCUAAAUCUAGAAGAUUUAGAACAGGUACAUCUUCUCCUUGUCAUGUAUUGCUUCAAAUCUCUAUUUUGGCACCCAGUCACAAACACCAGAAACCUUAGGGCCUUUGUGAUCCUGCAUCUGGAUGUGCCUUUGCAUUUCACACAUUAGUUUUCACGUCCCUUAGCUCAUUUACUCCUCACAAUGACCCUAAGAGCAUUACUUGAUUAAGCGAUUUUGUAAGGUUUAAUUUGAAUGAAUUGUUUUGUUCCCAGACUAACAAAGUAAACACAUUUUCCAAUUCUUUUAAGAAAGAGUAAAAUAACUCCUGUUUACAGAGGAAGAAAAUAAAGUUUAUAGAGGUUAACAAAUUUUUCUAAGAAGUUGUAAGGGUUAAAUGAAAUAGUACAUGUUGUGAAACUUCCUAUACCUUAAAACAUCAUGUAAAUGUAAAGUUUUCUUGAUUAUUAACAUAAUGCUAAAUUACUGGUGAUGCAGCUAAUUUGGUAAAUGUAUUAAGAAAAGUAUUAAGUGUACAGAAAUACAGAGGUGAGGGAAAUCAGUUUAGUUAGGGAUGAUAAGGAUCUUGGAAGGAGAGUAGGCUUUUAAUAGAUGGAGAGAAUGAUGGAGGACCAGCUUCUCCAUGUCUCAUUCUAGUCUACCACCUUUAUAUCUGUCCUUAAUACAAAGCUGAUUUGAGUGAUCUUUUCUUAGCACUUCUAGGUAAUGGCUGGAGGUUUCCUCUAAAUGCAAUAGAUAAAUGCAAGGCACCUCUUAUAAGAACAUUAGGACACUAACUCAAAGGUCACCUUCUUCCGAGGGAGUAAAAGCCAUCCAAGCUGCCUGCAGAAGCUCAUACCAUACCAUCCUGCAUGUGGACAAGGAACUCACGGGAACAGGGAACAUAGGAAACGAGAGAGUGUGAAGGACAAUGAACUGCAGAGCCUAACUGGCGCAUGGACUUAGCCAAAGCAGAUCCUUUAAAGAUUUACAGACUGACACACUCUAAUAUCACAUCAUCUUCCUGUGGAAAAUAAAGAGCAGGAAUUAUUUGAUCCAUACAACGAUCUUUACAAUUCAGGCCUCAAAACAGGAUGAUGUCUGACUAACAAUGGAAAAGUAGGUCUUCCUCAAUUAUCCAGGUAAAUGCUUAAGUUUAUAGAAUCAACAGAUAGUUCUAAAAUAGACAUAUAAAUAACAGAGAAAAGAAGAAUACAUAAGGCAAGGAAAAUAAUGCAUUUUGUACAUUAGAUAUUUCUUAAAGCAGGUACUACAGGGAGCAUUCCAGUAUACUUUUAUAUUCUAAAAUAAAAAAGUAAUCCAUAGGAAAACAUUUAUCCUUUGCUUCAUGUCUCUAUUUCUUUUUUAA